rnacentral:piRNA from 1 species
UGGUCCAUAGUUCUAUCACUGAAUUUCAGCC